GGGCCCGCACAAGCAGCGGAGCAUGUGGUUUAAUUCGAAGCAACGCGAAGAACCUUACCUAGACUUGACAUCCCCUGAAUAACCUAGAGAUAGGCGAAGCCCUUCGGGGCAGGGAGACAGGUGGUGCAUGGUUGUCGUCAGCUCGUGUCGUGAGAUGUUAGGUUAAGUCCUGCAACGAGCGCAACCCUUAUCCUUAGUUGCUACCAUUAAGUUGAGCACUCUAAAGAGACUGCCCGGGUUAACCGGGAGGAAGGUGGGGAUGACGUCAAAUCAUCAUGCCCCUUAUGUCUAGGGCCACACACGUGCUACAAUGGUGAGUACAAAAAGAUGCAAUACCGUAAGGUGGAGCAAAACUUAUAAAACUCAUCCCAGUUCGGAUUGUAGGCUGCAACUCGCCUACAUGAAGCCGGAGUUGCUAGUAAUCGCGAAUCAGCAUGUCGCGGUGAAUACGUUCCCGGGCCUU
rnacentral:rRNA from 1 species